AGAUCCUAUUAGAUAUGAUCCGAUCCAUGAUGAGCUUCAUAGACCUUCCUGACUUUCUCUGAAGACAUGCUUUAUUUUUUGUGAUUCAUCUCUUGAAUCAGGUUCUCUCUAAAUCCAUUCCUACCACACCAUAUGAGUUAUGGUAUGGUAAGAAGUCAAUUUUUGGGUACCUCAAGAUUUGAAGAUGUUCGAUACAUAUCAAGCGACAGC
rnacentral:lncRNA from 1 species